CUUUACUGCAACUUGACGUUGGAACUUGGCUGUAUUUGUGUAGGAUAGGUGGGAGACUUUGAAGCAGGGCCGCCAGGUCUUGCGGAGUCGUCGUUGAAAUACCACCCUGGUGCUGACGAGUUUCUAACCGUGUCCGUAAGCCGGACAUGAGACAGCGUCUGGUGGGUAGUUUGACUGGGGCGGUCGCCUCCUAAAAGGUAACGGAGGCAUUCAAAGGUCCCCUCAGCGUGGUCGGUAAUCACGCGCAGAGUGCAAACGCAUAAGGGGGCUUAACUGCGAGACCGACAGGUCGAGCAGGUACGAAAGUAGGAGUUAGUGAUCCCGCGGUUUAGCGCGGAAUUGCCGUUGCUCAAUGGAUAAAAGGUA
rnacentral:rRNA from 1 species